UUGUUCUCAGAACCUAAACGCAGUUGGUGUGUAUUUCAACAGAUACAUCAGGAGAUUUCAUCUGGGAACGUCAGAAAGAUCGCCUUAUAAUUGGAAUUCUUCAUAAUUCUUCACAGAGAGUAAAACAGAGUCGACAGGAAAAGAUGAACUUAAAACUGAACAUGGCCGCUGUACUGUUAACAAUAAUUCUGUGUACUUGUGGGGAAUGUUUCAUACUACAAGCAGACGAACAACCAACGGCAUCUUCCAAUUUGGUGGCAGAUUCAUUUCCUAUGGAAAAGCGUGGACGACUCUCCUUAACUGCUGAUUUAAGAAGCUUGGCACGCAUGCUCGAGGCGCAUCGAAAACGCUACAUUGAAAGUAAAUCCCCGUAUGACUCCAUACGCAAGAAAUUGUUCCUAUUUGGUAAAAGAAGUAUCAUGCCAGAAAGGCAACUGUACGACGAAGAGAGCUCAGAGGCGCCGGAAUAUUCGCCAUUGGAUAGUUCUACGACCAGCGAAGAAUUCCCCAUCCGUUAUCACAAACGACAACGGUUAUCGGUCAACGGCGCCCUGUCCUCCCUAGCAGACAUGUUGGCAGCAAACGGACGGCAGCGAAUGAGAUCAGAAAUGGCCUUGAAUCGCCAGAGGCUUUAUGGACUAGGCAAAUAGUGAACUUAUUUUUAUAUUAACUCAUUUAUUAUGAAUUGUUUCAAGACUUUUGGGAUGCUCUACAAAACUUUGGGAUUUUGAAGAUUUUCCGGAUUUUUGGUUAUCACGCAGAUUUACAACUCGAUCAUCAGCAUGGGUUUGAAUUCUUAUUUUCGUUUUUAACACAUUGGGUUUAAUAAAAUUCCAAAUUUAC